rnacentral:rRNA from 1 species
AUUGAACGCUGGCGGAAUGCUUUACACAUGCAAGUCGAACGGUAGAGGGGGCAACCCCUCGAGAGUGGCGAACGGGUGAGUAAUAUAUCGGAACGUGCCCGGUCGUGGGGGAUAACGUAGCGAAAGUUACGCUAAUACCGCAUACGAUCUAAGGAUGAAAGCGGGGGAUCGCAAGACCUCGCGCGAUUGGAGCGGCCGAUAUCAGAUUAGGUAGUUGGUGGGGUAAAGGCUCACCAAGCCAACGAUCUGUAGCUGGUCUGAGAGGACGACCAGCCACACUGGAACUGAGACACGGUCCAGACUCCUACGGGAGGCAGCAGUGGGGAAUUUUGGACAAUGGACGCAAGUCUGAUCCAGCCACUCCGCGUGCAGGAUGAAGGCCCUCGGGUUGUAAACUGCUUUUGUACGGAACGAAAAGGUCUCUCUUAAUACGGGGGACUCAUGACGGUACCGUAAGAAUAAGCACCGGCUAACUACGUGCCAGCCGCCGCGGUAAUAC